rnacentral:lncRNA from 1 species
AGGUCACACUGCAAGCCAGGUUGAAGUCACUCCUGAUAACUAAAUUCCAAUUACAUGUCCACCUAUUGAGCUUGUAGCCUCUGCAUUCAGUGUAGCCAUGGUUUUCUUCUGUUUGAUUCCACAAGGAUUCACAUGGAAGACACUGAAAACACAGUUCUAGAUGUAAUUUCCUUCUCUUGUAUGAUAGAAUCAAGACUCAGAAUCUCUUUGCUAAGAACUCCAUGUGCUUGUUUGUGUGGUGAUUCUUCAUUUUUGAUCAGUCUAAAUCACCCAAAUAUUUGAUACAAGUUUCUGAAGCAAUCAGUAACUCUCAAGGCAAAGCCAAGUAUUCUUCAUUUUUAAAUGGUAUAAAAUUAUAAAUCACCCAAGUAUUUGUACACCAUCUGAACUCUGAGCAGAUACUGCAUGAGUAAUAUAAUGCAUAGGUCAGUUACCUUUUUGCUGAUGUAUUGGUAAAAUUUGCAGCAUCCACAUAUACAAAAUGGUCAUAAUAGCCGCAAAUCGUUGCAAGAGAAAACCUAGAAUUAUGAAUGAUCACACCAUUUCUUUCUUGUCUGUGGAGAAGUUGUACCACAGGCAGAAGUUUUGACCAUCUCUUUUGGAAGUUGAGGUAUUUGAUUGAAUAGCCAAAGAUCAAUUGGCUAUCUCUUUUGGAAGUUGAGGUAUUUGAUUGAAUAGCCAAUUGGCUAUUUCUUUUGGAAGUUGAGGUAUUUGAUUGAAUAGCCAAAGAUCAAGAAGAAGAGUAGGACAAAACCCAAAUGAGCGAGAGCCACACAACCCAGGAAGCUGUGCUGGAAACCCAAGUUGUCUUUCAAGAAUUGCUUCACCGUAAGGCUACCUGCUCCAGGAAUGGCAACCAAGUCGUCCUUCGUCCCCAGUUGCGAUGACACAAUGCCAUAAAUCGUCCACGAUACGGGAUCACCCCAGUAGUACCACCUCCACCAGACAGGAAUCAGC